CUUCGGUUCUGGCGGUAGGCUCCCGCUGCGUCAUCAUGAGCCAGCCCACGGUGAAUUUACUAAAACGGUGACGUCUUCCGCUGUGACGCAGAUAUGGAACAGUCCAUCCCUAGGCGCAGGUGUCAUCCCUCGACUGAAACCUUCAAAUGCACACAUAGAAAAAGUAACGGUAAGUCAGCCAAUGCAAAGCGGACAGAGAGGCCGCCGCAAAGUGGGUGAAAGAAGAAGAGAACCCCAUAUUCAAAAUGUUAACAAAGACAGUCGAUGGGGACAUUGGGAAUCGGUGUUUUGCGCCGUUCAGGAUAAGUUAAAAAUCAGGAUGAGCUCUUAGAUCCGUCCUAAGCGCCGGCGAGUAGCAUACAGCGACCAGCCGUCGAGUUUUGUGGGCAAGAAGCCAGUCCAUGGAUAAAUUAGAAUUCGAUUUUGUAUGUGUGUUAUGUUCUGCAGUUUAACAAGUAGUUCCAUUGUAAUAGUACUAGUUUUAGUUGUUACAUUGUCCAUCUGCGAUGCUCCAGACAUAUGUUGGCCACAUCCUGUACUGUGUAUGGACGGCUAGGAGUUCGGAAGCAAUUUAUGGCGUUCUGCCUGCAUAUUUUUCAUAAAUUUAAAAAUGCAUAUUUCGUUAAAAUCCAAUUGUCUUUUAUUUUCUUUUCUUUCAUUUUCAAUUAUAAUUAUUCAAAAGGACUUUAAUACAAAUAUUUGAAAGAGGCACUGCGGCACAUGGCGUUCUUUUGAAGAAGAAGGCCUUCUUCUUGAUCAAGACUUUUUA
rnacentral:misc_RNA from 1 species